rnacentral:lncRNA from 1 species
UUGCAGGAGGUGUCCUGCAUUGACACUCGCGGCGGCCGUGGCCGUUGGUCAGCGCGGGCGCGCCCCCGGUGGCCGGGCAGCGGCCGGGGCCUUGGCAGGUGGAGGCGCGGGUGGGCCAGGGGUGGGGCCCGCGCCCGGGGGCUGUCGGCGCGCGCCGCGCCCUCGCCCUCGCCCCCCGGGAUGCGGACCGGUGGUCCUCGAAGCCGGUCAGUGGCGACCGAGCGGCUGGCUUUGCCCCGCUCGCAGGAACGUGGUUUUAAAUCUCAGUAUUAAAAAAAAAACCACACGCUGGUCUCGAGUUUUGGUGAAAGAAAAUGGGCGGGCGUGCUGUGCGGGGCCCUUCCCUCUCCGGCGCGAGGACCGGGCUCCGCGUUAGGGGGAAAGCAGCAUCGAAACUGAAGCUCUUGCGUGGGCAAUCGGGGUGCGCGCGCGCGCAGGCCCGUAAGGAGGCGGCCAGUGUGGCCCAGAGCGAGUUGAGGGCUAGCUUAGGAGUGCUUCAGUCCUGCCAGCGCGCUCUGAGGCUUUCCGGACCUGGACUUCGAAAUGAGCCCCCUGGCACGACCGCCCGCAGUGCCUUCCACCGACUUCACAGAGUUGUACGUGUUUUAAAUCAGGCCCCUGGAAGAGAAGGUAACAGGAGCCACCCCACUCGUGAGUUGAGACUGUCCCCAGGUGUUUGGCAUGUCCUGGCUGUGUACUCAGAAGACCUUCCGCACCACCUGUGCCUGGCUCCUUGGGAGUGUCCCACUGCUGGUGAGGAGCUGUGUGCUGUGUCCAGCUUCCCCUGUAGGGAAGUCGUUUGGUCGGGUCCCCCGAGUGCUCCCCAGGGGCACACCCAUUCUAGACCUGGAGGUGCAACUUAGCAGUCGGGAGGAAAAAAUGACAAAACACACAAAGAAACCAACAGUCCCCCUCCCCGCCCUCAAGAAAGGGCUUAACAGUCAGUAGGAACAGAGUUGGGGGUGGUCUGGAAAGCGCGGGGUCCCCUUCGAGACGCCCCUCUGCUUUCAUUGCUGCUUUGCCCCCCAGUCCCUCAGGUACGAGCUGGAGCGUUGAGUCAGGACAGUUCUGCCUUUGCGGAGCGGACUUGCGUGUGUUUUCUCUCUGCUCUCCUUGCGUUCCAGGGCCUUCCUGUCGUUUUUUGUAUUUGGUUACAAGAUUAUAGUU